rnacentral:rRNA from 1 species
CAGCCGCCGCGGGAAUACGAAGGGGGCUAGCGUUGCUCGGAAUGACUGGGCGUAAAGGGCGCGUAGGCGGUUUGUACAGUUGGAUGUGAAAUUCCUGGGCUUAACCUGGGGGCUGCAUUCAAUACGUGCGGGCUUGAGUGUGGAAGAGGGUUGUGGAAUUCCCAGUGUAGAGGUGAAAUUCGUAGAUAUUGGGAAGAACACCGGUGGCGAGGGCGGCAACCUGGUCCAUUACUGACGCUGAGGCGCGAAAGCGUGGGGAGCAAACAGGAUUAGAUACCCGUGUAGUCCCUGUCUCUUAUAC